GCUCCUUCAGAACUCGAUUCUCACUCUCUCCUUCGUCUUCUUGCCCACUUGAUUCUUCUUCUUAGUCUCUCCCUCUUCUUCUUAGUUUCGAUUUUAGGUUUGAUUUCGAUUAGGUUUUUCUUCUAUUUGGGGUGAUUGGAUUUUACUUUUCCUCUUAUCCUCGUCAAAAUGAGGUGUUUCAAUUACUGAAAACCCAGACCUCUCUCUCUCUCUGACUCUCAGCCUCCUUCACUGUCGAUGGCGGCGAAACGGCGGCAUUCAGUGACUGUUGUCUUGGUCUCUCCAUGAAUUCGAAGGCAAUCACUUAGUGACUCGUCGUCUCUCUCUCUCUCUCUCUCUCUCUCUGUCUCUCUCUCUCUCAAUCUCUCCUGGACGGUCGCCGGCACUAGCCCUCUCCCUCUAUCCUCGAAGGUCGACGGCACCGACCCUUUCUCCUCGAAUUAGACUGGAGUAGUGGAAGGCGAUACUGUUGGAAUCGAGAGAGCGGGAGAAGAAGUCAGUUCGCCUUUCAUUUGGAUCAAUCUUGAAAGCUUGGCUAUCGAAGGGGUAUUGUUCGGUUUUGCUGUGAGGAGGAAGAGGACCUGCGUUUUGGAUAACUGCAUUUUGAGCCAAGGAGAAGAUGAGGAACUUGGGUAUAGGGUUGUGAUCGAUACUUAGUUUUUGGGGUAUGCUUUGGAUGUGAAUGUGGAGAGGGCACAAGAUAUUCUCAUGCAUAAAAGACUAUUGCAUAUGGCCUGCCACUAGACCUGUAGUAUAAGUCCGUCUUGUGCAGGUAAUUUUUUAUUUUUAUUUUGAUCAUUCUUGAGUUAAAUUCAUAAACGGUCUAGUAAAUUUAAAAAGAAAAAUAUACUGUAAGCUUAGUCACAUGGAUUCAAUGUGCAGUUUAUGUGUUAUGACGAUGCUCAGUGUUCUGGUUUUGCUGGAAAAUGGAGUCAUAGUCCAAAGCAAAGAUGUUUGGACUUGUUUUUCUUUACGUAAGAUUUAG
rnacentral:lncRNA from 1 species